rnacentral:rRNA from 1 species
CAGCGGCGGACGGGUGAGUAACACGUGGGCAACCUGCCUGUGAGACUGGGAUAACUUCGGGAAACCGGAGCUAAUACCGGAUAAUAUAAGGAACCUCCUGGUUCUUUAUUGAAAGAUGGUUUCGGCUAUCACUCACAGAUGGGCCCGCGGCGCAUUAGCUAGUUGGUGAGGUAACGGCUCACCAAGGCGACGAUGCGUAGCCGACCUGAGAGGGUGAUCGGCCACACUGGGACUGAGACACGGCCCAGACUCCUACGGGAGGCAGCAGUAGGGAAUCUUCCACAAUGGACGAAAGUCUGAUGGAGCAACGCCGCGUGAGCGAUGAAGGCCUUCGGGUCGUAAAGCUCUGUUGUUAGGGAAGAACAAGUGCGAGAGUAACUGCUCGCACCUUGACGGUACCUAACCAGAAAGCCACGGCUAACUACGUGCCAGCAGCCGCGGUAAUACGUAGGUGGCAAGCGUUGUCCGGAAUUAUUGGGCGUAAAGCGCGCGCAGGUGGUCCUUUANGUCUGAUGUGAAAGCCCACGGCUCAACC